rnacentral:lncRNA from 1 species
CCCAUUCCAAACAUGUUCGGAAACAUGUUUAGGUUGCAGCCAUAAGACGUCUCCUUCUAUUGGACCAGACUUAAUGUGUAUACUAGAUGAAGAUGAUGACGAAGAUGCCAUUGAUGCUGUAAAGUUCAAUAUAAUACAAAAAAUUGACAACAAAAAUUUUACAUUAAAAAAAUUAACAAAUUUAAUAGCUACACAAAUUUAAAUAAAUGUUCUAAAAUACUAUACAAAUAACAAAAUUACAAAUUUAAUAGCUACACAAAUUAAAAUACAUGACCAAAUUAAAAUACAUAGAUUUGUUACACAUACAAAAAUUGAACACAAAAAAACAUAAAAUACUACCUAAAAUAGUCUACAAAUAAAAAUAUUAAAAAUUACAUACCUACACAAAUUUAAAUAAAUUACCAAAUUUAAAUACAUAACAAAAUUAAAAACUUAAACACAUACAUAAAUUGAACACAAAUAAAGUUAAAAUACUACCUAAAAUAGUCUACAAAUAACAAAAUUACAAAUUAAAUAACUACAAAAAUUUAAAUAAAUGACCAAAUUAAAAUACAUAAGAAAAUUAAAAAUUUAAACACGUACAUAAAUUGUACACAAAUAAACUUAAAAUACUAUCUAAAAUAAUCUAGAAAUAACAAAAUUAAAAAUUAAAUAGCUACAAAAAUUUAAAUAAAUGACCAAAUUAAAAUACAUAACAAAAUUAAAAAUUUAAACACGUACAUAAAUUGUACACAAAUAAACUUAAAAUAUUAUCUAAAAUAAUCUACAAAUAACAAAAUUAAAAAUUAAAUAGCUACAAAAAUUUAAAUAAAUUACCAUAUUAAAAUACAUAAUAAAAUUAUAAAUUGUUACACGUACAUAAAUUUUACACAAAAAAAACUUUAUUUACUAACUAAAAUACUCUAUACAUAACAAAUUUAAAUAUUAAAAUACGUACAUAAAUAAAUUUAAUUAAAUGACCAUAUUUUUUUUACAAUUAUUAAAAUUUAAAUUAAAUAACAAAUAUUAUACAUAAAAAAAUGGUAUUAAAUCAAAAAAAUUUCAUGGAAUAAAAAAUUUAAAGAACAUAUAUAUAAAAUUAAUAAAGUAUCAUAUAUUUCAAUGAAAACUAUAAUUCAAUAAACUAAAUAAUAUUCACAUUCUAACUAAAAUUAACGUACAAAUAAUUUUAUCACAAAUAAUAACAUACAAAUUUUAAAAAUCUUAACAAAAUUAUAUUAAUAAAUCACUAACGUACAAAUAAUAAUAUACCAACUAAAUCAUAUUUAAACAUACUACUUAAAAUUUAAAAGUUUUACCAUACAUCAACAAACUUAGCAUAUCUAAAACAAUUAAUAAAACUAACCUAACCUAACUUACCAUAUCUAUAAUUAAUUUACAAAAUUAUAAAUAAAUUAUAUUAUCAAAUUAACUAAAACUAACCUAACUAAUAUUAUCAAAAUUAUAUUUAUAAAUCAACUAAAACUAACCUAACUAAUAUUCUUAAAAUUAUAUUUAUAAAUCAACUAAAACUAACCAAACUAAUAUUAUCAAAAUUAUAUUUAUAAAUCAACUAAAACUAACCUAACUAAUAUUCUUAAAAUUAUAUUUAUAAAUCAACUAAAACUAACCAAACUAAUAUUAUCAAAAUUAUAUUUAUAAAUCAACUAAAACUAACCUAACUAAUAUUCUUAAAAUUAUAUUUAUAAAUGAACUAAAACUAACCUAACAUAAACCUAACCUAAACAAUAUUAAUAUGUGAACUGAAAUUAUUUUAACACAUGUAUAUAUAACAGAAAAAUAUAGGGCAAACAACAUUAAAAAAAAAUUAACUUACCGGAAGCGCGUAUUAAGAAUAGCAAUCCAAAGCACGUAUGGAGAAUACACAGUGUAGUGUUAGGACAGUGGAACUAAGAUUCAAAACUUCACCUACAAUAGAUAAAAAAUUUCUCAAUUAAAACUGAAAUAUAAAUUAAACAUAACUUAAUAUAUAUAACACAAAAAAUUUUAAAAUUUUCAGUUAAUAUAAUACUUACAAAAACACCUAAUACCAACAGAAGAAGAAACAAUGCAAUGGAAGCUCAAUAUCUCGUGUGAGGAAGAUAAGCAGAAGAAGAUAACUAAUGAGGAAGAUAAGCAGAAGAAGAAGAAGAAAGCAUGCAUACGAAGAAGAAGAAAGCAUGCAUACGAAGCUCGCGUUUUAUAAAAAAAAUUUUGAAUCCCUGCACCUGCAAAUCGCCUGCACCAAUGGCGAUUUCCUCUCUGCAAAUCGCCUGCACCAAUGGCGAUUUCCUUCUGCUGCACUGCCAUGGCAGGAAUGGCAGGAACUAGGCCUGCUGCCCUCAGCUAUUGGAACUCGCCAGUUUGACUGGCGGUUCCCUAUGGCUUGUGCAUAUCGCCAGCUCUAAUGGCGGUUUAGGCACGUAUCGCCAGUGCCAUUUGCAACUUGCUCAGUGACACCAAACUCGCCAUUGGCAAUGGCGGUUUGGGUCCUGCAUGGCACACUAUUCACGUACAAAACUACCCCCUGCCGAAAAUAAAACCAAAAGAACCCCAUCUGGGGAAAUACUUUUUAAAAGUACCCCAGAUGGGGAAAUUUGCCUACGGUUGCAUGCAGUAAAGCACAUGUAUGUGUUUUGCAAGCAACACUUAUUCAUUUUGAAUAGAAUUGAACAGUCAGCAGAAAUGAACUACUCUUCUAUAUAUAUAUAUUUUAAAACUACUAUUUAAAAAAAACCUCAAACCAAUGAAUCAUGAAUACAUAUGAAGUGGACAGAAAUUUGUCACUCAAAAAACAUUUUCUCUUUUCUUCUUUUUACAAAAUAAAUCGUAACAUUGUAUUCAUGGGAAAUACAGAUACAACGAAUAGAAGCUCAUUAGAAGAUUGCUUGUGAAAGAAACUCAUUAAUAGGGCAUUUUGGGGUUCAAAAGACUUUAGACAUGUUACAGGAGCAUUUCUAUUGGCCACAUAUGAAACAUGAUGUGCAUAAGUUUUGUGAACAGUGCAUUGUUUGUAAGCAGUCAAAGUCUAGAGUCAUGUCUCAUGGUCUUUAUUCUCCUUUGCUUGUUCCUGAAUAUUCUUGGACUAAUUUAUCUAUGAAUUUUGUUUUAGCUUUUCCUCGAACGAGGAAUGGUAAAGACUCUAUUUUUUUUGUGGUUGAUAGGUUCUCAAAAAUGGCAUAUUUCAUACCAUUUAAGAAAAAUGAUGAUGUACGCCAUGUUGCUAAAUUAUUUUUCAAGGAAGUGGUGCGUCUCCAUGGACUACCAAGAAGCAUUGUUUUGGACCAAGACACUAAGUUCCUCAGUCACUUUUGGAGAACAUUAUGGGGUAAGGUUAGAACAAAGCUUCUUUUUUCCACCACAUGCCAUCCUCAAACUAAUGGACAAAUUGAGAUAGUAAACAGGAAUUUGUCUUCUCUUCUUAGAGCUAUGAUUAAAAAGAAUAUAAAGUGUUGGGAAUAAUGUCUGCCUCAUGUUGAGUUUGCAUACAAUAGGGUUGUACAUAGAAAUACACAACACUCUCCAUUUGAAGUAGUGUAUGGUUUUAAUCCCUUGACUCCUCUUGAUUUGUUACCAUUGCCUAACAUUUCAGAUUUUAAGCAUAAGGAUGCAUAGGCUGAAGUUGAAUAUGUGAAAAGAUUGCAUGAGCAAGUGAAGGCUCAAAUUGCAAAGAAGAAUGAAAACUAUGUCAAGCAAGCCAACAAGAAUAGGAAGAAAGUGGUAUUUGAACCAAGUGAUUGAGUUUGGGUACACAUGAGGAAUGAGAGAUUCCCUGAACAAAGGAAGUCCAAACUUCAACAUAGAGGAGAUAGACCUUUCCAAGUACUAGAGAUGAUCAGUGACAAUGCUUACAAGAUAGAUAUUCCAAGUGAGUAUGGAGUAAGUUUCUCUUUUAAUGUUGCUGACUUGACUCCAUUUGUUACAGGUGGUGAUUCUGAAGAUUUUAGGACAAAUGCUUUCCAAGAAGCAGGGAAUGGUGAGAAUCCCAAAGCUAUCCAAAUACAAGGACCUAUGACCAGGAGUAGGACCAAACUGUUAGAAGAUACCCUCCAACAAAUAGUAUCAGUCAUACUUGACAAGACCCAAGUGGAGAAGGAUGAAGGCCUAAAAGCACUAUCAAGAAUCAUCUUGAUUAUUGUUAAAGGCCCAAACUAAUUUGAAGGUCCAUAUCAAGUAUUUUUCUAUAUUUUUUUGUAAUUUUAAUUAAAUAAAAUUAGUAUCUUUUCAGCUACACUAUAUGUAUUGAACUCAUUUUCAAGAAAAUGAACUUUUGACAUUUUGAGAAAAUACGUGUGCAUCUUGUGAGAGCUUCUCUUUGGAUUCCUUGUUGACCCAAUCUCAGACUUAUCAAGGUUAAACCUUUGUGGCAUUUAUCCUUGAUUUAUCUUCCAUAUCUGGAAGUUGCGUCAUUCAUUUUCGUGACUUUUAUCAAGCGAUCCACUCUUAAUAAGAAUCACAUUCCUAUCAAAAUCAAAUGCAAUUACGAAUGUGAAAGCAUUACUUUAACCAUUUAAAGAUAAAGAUGGACGGAAAUCCAACACAUGCAAUUAGGAAGAGACACAUGGCAAAUACAUAUUUAAGCUCCCAAAUAAAGCUUUUUUGUCUUUUUGUGUAUAGAAAAAUAAACACGAACGAUGAAACAGGAAUGCUUAUAGAAAAAAAGUUUGUAGAAAGGUAAUUCCAUUUUAAAUGAAAAUAUGUAAAAGUUAUUACACUUCUACUUUAACAUAUUCAAGAUGGAUAGGCCUAUAAUGACAAAGCAUUCGACCACACAUCGAGAUCCACCGACCAGUAUACAUUGCAUGUGGCACCAAGAUAUGCAUCCCUGACUUCCAAAGAUAAUAUUAACUUGGUAGAAAUUUAACAUAGAAGAGACCGGACAAGGCAGAAUAAUUGAAAUUUUACUAUAAGUAUUCACCAUUAGCCGAAAAGAUUGCCCCUAAAUUGACUUUCAAACAAACUGUCGCUGUAAAUAGUAAUCAACAAAUAAAUGUGAACUUAUAUAACGAAUCGGCAAGAUAUUCCAUGUGCGCUGAUUCAAGAUCCAUCAUAUCUUUCACCUGCAUAAUAAAUGGCAGAAAUAUCCAAAAGAUUUAUAAAGUAAUUGAAUUACUAAGUCAUAUAGACUAGAUCUAGCCAUCAAAGUUAUCAUAAACUAGAAAGCUAUGAAAUUGACAUUUGAGUGAGGUAGAAGGAAAAUGUGGUAAUCCAUCCCAGAUCAACGAAGUUCAUCUUUCUAUAACCCUUUAUAUGUGGUGAAAUUUUUUUGUAUUUCUGCAACAUUUAAAAAUUAUAAUGGAGAUGCUGUUGAGAUGACUUAACAUUUGUUUAUAAGUUCCUACAUAAACAUCUUAAAAGCAUCCCACAUAAUAAACAAAAUAUUUCUAAAUUUCCUCUUAUGUUAUGCUAAGCAUAAACAUCAAGCCUGCUAGAAGCCAAAGAACAGAAGACAGAGAGAAGAUAUGAAGGAUAUUGUUGGUUGAACUUUAACAAAAAUGUACAGAACAAAGGAGAGAAGUCCCUCUCUCCUCCCCCUUCACAAAUAAUUUCUCCUUUCACACACAAGCUAUCAAAUUCACAUAAUGAAUCCCUCUAAUCGGAUGUCCCCUAUUUAUAGCCAGUCCCUUCUAACUAUUGGACUAACUGAGCUGCCUUUAUUCAGCUCUCAUUAUAGUCAUUGACCAAGGCUGCAGCCUGCAGCUGCUUGACAGCCUUGAGCAGUAGAACCCUCUCGUAGUAAUAUCAGCAAAUGCAAAAAACAAAGAAUUACAUUACAAGGUCAAAGGGCAUAGAAAUAAUGAAAAAUAGUAUGAUUUUG